rfam:Brassica rapa chromosome A8, whole genome shotgun sequence.
GUCAGGAUGGCCGAGUGGUCCAAGGCGCCAGACUCAAGUUCUGGUCCUCGAAAGAGGGCGUGGGUUCAAACCCCACUUUUGACA